UUCCAACAUACAACUUCACUUGCCUCACUAUUCAGAUUGCAGCAACGCAACACACAAAACCCAUCAUCCAUCUGCAGCACAUCGACACAACCUUGUCCUUCAAGCAGAUUCAACAACAUCCACGGUGCAUCAACAACAGAAGCACAACCUACAGAUCCUCCAUCUUUAAUAUCAACUUUCAGCACUGAUUUCCUCCAAUUUUCAACGCAAUCGCAAACACCGACGCGAGCUUCACCUCACAGACCACAUCAUCAUCAUCGGCGAAAACGAAAACUGACACACACAACUGCAAUGAUUCGAGAACACAGGUGAGCUCAACGCAGCAACGACAUCGAUCAUCGUUAUCUGAUUCAAUCAUACCCAAGUUAUAAUGUCAUGUAUAAAACCCUCCAUAGUUAUUUCUUCAUUUGCAGUUUUGGCCAUUUUCAUGCUGUGCAUCUCAUCAUAUGUUGUCCUUACAAGUACAACUAUCCCUUAUCUGUUUGCGUUCAUCAAUGCUGCGAUAUCUUUUUUGGCUUUUAUCUUCGGUUAUAAUGAGGACGGUUUCAUGACCAACUAUUAUGUGAAAAGAGAGAAGACUAUUAUCAAGAAGGCAACCAUGUGUACCCGAGACUCAAAGUUCUGGAUGCAUAUAAAAGAGCAUUGACUACGUGGGCUAGAUGGAUUGACAACAAUGUUGAUCCAAAUCGAACACAUGUUUUCUUCAGAGGAUACUCAGUUACCCAUUUCAGACAUAUACGGGGAGCAUUUUAAUUGCUGUUAAUCCAUUCACAAAGCUUCCUCAUUUGUACAAUAACCACAUGAUGGAGCAGUAUAAGGGAGCUCCAUUUGGUGAACUCAAUCCACAUGUAUUCGUCGUUGCUGAUCCAUCGUACAGGGAUGAAAAUGGAUGAGGUGUGAUGAUAUCAUUGCGGAUGGUUCUGUUGCUCGUGUUACCGCGAAACUUGAAUUGAUGGAGCUUCAUGUUCUUAUAGGAAAACAACUGCUUUGGGAUCAUCUAAUCAUAUGGAUACACCUGUUCUUUUUUCGGGGAUGCUAAACUCUGUUCCUGAUCAAAAUCCUGAUUUCUUUAACUGGAACAAGGUGAAGAUACGCUAUUGUGAUGGUGCAUCCUUUGCUGGUCACCCAGAAACUGAGAAAGGAAGUGGGUUGUUCUUCAGAGGGAAGAUCAUAUGGGAAACAAUUAUGAAUGAACUCUUAUCAAUUGGCAUGUCGAAAGCGAAACAGGUGAGAAGCAAAAUCUACUAGAUCAAAUGCAAAUGGUUGAAGAGGAUAAGGAGAUAGAAAUGUUGCCAAAACAAAAGCCAAAGAAGAAGAAGAAGAAAAGUUAUAUAUGAAGAAAGUGUUAUGACUUAGUUAAAAUAUAAUUUUUAUG